GUGUCAGCAGCCGCGGUGAUACGUAGGGUGCAAGCGUUAAUCGGAAUUACUGGGCGUAAAGCGUGCGCAGGCGGUUAUGUAAGACAGAUGUGAAACUCCCCGGGCUCAACCUGGGAACUGCAUUUGUGACUGCAUAGCUAGAGUACGGUAGGAGGGGAUGGAAUUCCGCGUGUAGCAGUGAAUGCGUAGAUAUGCGGAGGAACACCGAUGGCGAAGGCAACUCCCCUGGACCUGUACUGACGCUCAUGCACGAAAGCGUGGGGAGCAAACAGGAUUAGAUACCCUGGUAGUCCACGACCCUAAACGAUGUCAACUGGUUGUUGGGUCUUCACUGACUCAAGUAAA
rnacentral:rRNA from 1 species